GUGUGUUUAUUCAUGGUUCCCUCAUCCCAGGGCCUGAGAGGGAAGCAGCAGUAGUAGAACCAUCUCAAGCUAGGACAAGUGGAAGAGCAGACCCGUCAAGAGGGGUGGAGGCCUGGUGCUUCUCUGAUGGGGUAAACUUGGGAAGCAGGAUCUGGAGGCAGCCAAGCAGAUUUUGUGGAUGGAAGGAGGGGAGUGUUUCAGGACAUGACAGAAUUGUGAAAGAGAGGACUGGUGUAUGGAGUGGACUGGAGAGAAAGAAGUACAGUGGCUUUCUGUUGCACAGCUUGGGGG
rnacentral:lncRNA from 1 species